AUUGAACGCUGGCGGCAUGCCUUACACAUGCAAGUCGAACGGCAGCACGGGUGCUUGCACCUGGUGGCGAGUGGCGAACGGGUGAGUAAUACAUCGGAACGUACCUUAUCGGGGGGGAUAACGCAGCGAAAGUUGCGCUAAUACCGCAUACGCCCUGAGGGGGAAAGCGGGGGACCGUAAGGCCUCGCGCGAUUAGAGCGGCCGAUGUCUGAUUAGCUUGUUGGGGAGGUAAAAGCUCACCAAGGCGAUGAUCAGUAGCUGGUCUGAGAGGACGAUCAGCCACACGGGGACUGAGACACGGCCCAGACUCCUACGGGAGGCAGCAGUGGGGAAUUUUGGACAAUGGGGGCAACCCUGAUCCAGCAAUGCCGCGUGAGUGAAGAAGGCCUUCGGGUUGUAAAGCUCUUUUGUCAGGGAAGAAACAGCAGCUCUAACACAGUCUGCGAAUGACGGUACCUGAAGAAUAAGCACCGGCUAACUACGUGCCAGCCGCCGCAGUAA
rnacentral:rRNA from 1 species